UACGUAGGGUGCAAGCGUUAAUCGGAAUUACUGGGCGUAAAGCGUGCGCAGGCGGUUCGCUAAGACAGAUGUGAAAUCCCCGGGCUUAACCUGGAACUGCAUUGUGACUGGCGGGCUAGAGUAUGGCAGAGGGGGUAGAAUUCCACGUGUAGCAGUGAAAUGCGUAGAGAUGUGGAGGAAUACCGAUGGCGAAGGCAGCCCCCUGGGCCAAUACUGACGCUCAUGCACGAAAGCGUGGGGAGCAAACAGG
rnacentral:rRNA from 1 species